ACCAAAAUUAUCGUAAAAUAAUAAUUUAAGUAUAAAUUAUUAUUCGAUGAAUUGGAUUUUAGCGGGACUAAAGGAUAAUUAAUACAUUAAAUAAAAUAAAUGGUAAGUCCCGAGUUAAUAAAUUUUACGAUAAAGUUCGUAAAAUAAAUUCAAGGAGCUAAGAUUUAAUUUUAUAGAAAUUGGAUGAAAGCAUUUUAUUAAACGGAAUUUUGAUUAUCGGAAAAAGAAAAAGGACAUAAAUAAAUUAUUUAGACCCGGAUAAAUAAAUAAUGCGAUAGAGUCCGUUAUUUAUCAAUAAAGAAUAAUCGUCAAAGUUCCGUUUAAUUAUGAUAACAUUUUGGAAUAUAAUUGGAAAAAUUAAAAGUUGAGCGUUUAAAUCGAAAGUUAUUAAAAUAAAUUAUCGGAAAAUAUAGUAAUGAGGUAGCGGAAUAAUAUUAUUUAUUUGGAUAUAAAUAAUACGGAAUUUAUCGAGAUCGGACAGUUAAAGGAUUAAUGGAUUAAAUUGGAUGAAAGAAAAGUUGGAAAUUGAAACGAAUGGAGGUGGCAACUUAAAGGACCAAGAGGAGUAUUUUUCCAACCUAUACAUAAGUGUUGCAAAUGAAUUGUUUUUCAUUUUCUACCUCAUUUCCAGCAAGAACUUUGAGAGAAGAAGAGUUCAUCAUCUUCAUUAUUCCAUAAUCUUCUAAACCUCACCAAAGCUUCGUUUCUUAUCCGAUUUACGUGAUUCUUGCGGCAACGGAAAGAGGAAGACGAUAGCUACAAAUCUUGGCCAUCAAUUCAAGAUAACGGUUUGGAGUGGUUUUUGUUGCGUUGGAUUGAGGAAAUAAAUAUCUACCAUCUAAGGGUUGUAAAUCAAGACCCGGCGAGACGAUUACUAACGGGACUCGGAACGUGACGAACGCGAUACCGUUUUACGAAUUCUCGAAGAUUAUGGUUAGCAAGUGUGUUUUGUUUCAGGUGAUAGUAUUUGAAGAGAUGGACUUCCAUUCUUGUUCCGGAAGUCUACAACAUAUAAAGUAUGUAUUGAAGUACGCUUCAAUUCGUAGCGCUGCAGUAGUCAGUAGAUGUCAGUCUAUAUUUGAUUGUUUGUACCGAACGAGAUCCAGCUGUUAACUCUGAUUUUAUAAAAUAUAUAUAUAUAUAUAUAUACGAUUUAUAAAAUUAUGUUUUUACCCGUUUGAUAUUUCACCAAUUGUCUAUGAAUGAAAUUGGUAUGAAAUUGUAUGAUUCGGAACAAGGCAAUGCUGAGUUAUGUUAUCGCAGAGUAAGACCUUAGUUCCAAUCGAUUAUGCAUCGGUUAUGAAAGAACGUUUUCGACGAUUAUGAAAUAUUGUUUUACGAAGUUUUCCCGAAAACGUUUUGUGCAUAAUUUUGUGUUUGAUUUGCGGAAAAAAAAAAAAUUACUCGUUUUUAGGCUUGCUACGGGUUCCGGAGCAACCACUCCCGUUCCCUAGCGCCGGUCUCGACCCUCGAUUUUGGGUCGUGACAAAGGUGGUAUCAGAGCAGUUGGUCCAGGAUACCACUGCUUUGUGUGUGAGUCUACCUAGGAACUACUGCAGCAUAUAAGAUUCCAGUCAUGUCUUUGAUCAGUUUCCAUUUGAUUUUAAAACUUCCAACUCUCCUCUCUAGGAUGCGAGUCUGUUUAUACGUUUGAUUAGAUUGAUUGACGAGAUACGCAUGCGUAGAUAUUCCGUUUAUGCCUAGAUAUUUGGCUUAUGUAUAGAUGCAUCGCCUAAGCGUUGAUAUGCCGUUUUUGCGUUUAGAUUUGAAUAUGGAUAUAUGCUUGUCAUGUUAGUAUAACAUAGUCAUGCUGCGAUUGUUGUGAGUUAGGACAUGCAAACUAGAUAAUUAGUAUUCGUACGAUUAAAUGACGAAUUUACUGUAUCAAGCAUCGUGCGAUACAAACAUGCUAUCGAAGUCCUACGAUGGAGACACUAAGGGAUGAUCGAUCGAAAGGCGUGGAUCCAAGGAAGUGGAAGAACCUUCAAGUUACAGAGUCUAAAGUCUGGAGAACUUACAAAACUAAAGAUUUAUAACUUGUUCAAAGUUAUUUGUUUAAACGGUUUUAUAAGCAUAAUUGUGCCUAGACCCAAGAUAGAAUUGCAUUACUGCCAUGACAUAACUAGAAUUACAUCACUACAUACAUGAAUGCACGCAUCAAUAGGACAUGCAUCAUAUGCAUUUUUCUCAGACAAGGAGUAAGUUAUGGCAACUCUUUGGGGAUGAGAGAUGUCAUCACCCUAGGGCACAAUUAUGCUAAUGUUUAAAAGAUUUAAAUAUGAUUUUCGAAAAAGGGCCCUUUCCUUUGAAUUUCAAGGAUGAUUGAAUUAUGAUUUAAAGAGAUUUGUUUUAAUGUAAGUAUACCUAGACUGGAACUCUGUAACGAAGGUGAAAUAUUUGCUAUCAAGCUACAAGAAACUCUCGAAGACACAACGAACGUGUAUAAGAGCGUGUAGGAGUUACAUUUUGAAAAGGCACGAAGCUAGCCGAAGUUCCACAAUCCAUUACAGGAUUAGAAGAACAAGGUGACACAAGUAGUAAAGUGAAAAAGAUUGAACGAUGAAUUAGGAUGCACCUAUUUUUAAACGAGGUGAUUAGAGAAUCAUGCUACAAAACAAUAGAAGUAUGAAAGGUGAUAGUUGAACUUAGUAACCGACCCAUAGCUUAAACAUUAAAGAUAGAAGAUAAUCUCUACGAAUGGAUGACGCGAAUUUUACUCGAUAUGAAAAGAUCAUUAAAUCUAGUAAGACUAAGAUAUCUUUUGAUUGAACCGUUGGAUCGGUUUAGCAUCGGAGUAUGAUGUCUCUAAGAAGGUUGACUAGAAGUUAACCGUUCCGAUCGUCGAACGGAGAAUGAAGUGGCAGUUUUCAUUAGAACACUGAUGGAAAAAGUAUAUGGGUGAUCAGUCUAGAAGACGAACUGCGAUUCUAUAAAGUAUAUAAGGAUUACGAACAUAAGAUACAUGUAAGAUAUGUAUGGUGUGAAAAACAUGAUUAAUGAAGUUAAAUGAUGGAUUGCAUAAAUUGUAUGCUAAGAAGUUGUAAGACUAGGCAGCAUGUUUUGCAGUUAAGACAUUCGGACCUACAGAUUAAAGGACAAGUAUACGUACGAGGAACAUAUACAAGUAUAAGAUUAUAAGAUCUGCAUAUGAAUGACAUAGAGCGAGAAGCUUAGUACGAAAACUAUGAAAGGUUUUCGAUGAUCUUUUCACGGGAACGUAAGCGAUGAUUAUCGAAAUGUAAGAUACACGAGAUGGCGAAGAUCAUGUCAAGGAUAUAAAGUUUAAAGGUUCAUAAGUUGAAAUCAAUGAAGGAGUUAGAAUAAAAUUAAUGUUUAAGAUAUGUAACAAGUUAAGGACGAAGGUGUAAAUAACAAGGAGAUAUUAUCUUUUCAAUCUACGACCAACUUGAGUGAAGUUAAGUAUCAUAAAAAGGAAAGUAAUGAUAAAAUAAGGGACACAAGGUCAAGGUCAGUUAAAACUACAAGUGAAGAAAUUACUUUGGAUAAGUAAUUUGAGUAAUGGAAAAAUUUAGAAACUUUGCUCACGACAAGUAAGUGGAAGAUCAUUAACAAAUGACGAUGUGAAAAGUUUCAAGAACACAAUGGAUGGUAAUGGUGAAAGUGUAAUCAUACUCGGGAAGGAAAAGUAUAAGAAGUAAGACUUUAGAACUUAAUAAGGAGCAAUAAAAAAAAUUGCUAAGGAGUGUAAUGCUCGUUGGGUAAGAGUAUUACGAUAGUUAUGAAAAUUCGAGGACGAAUUUUUAUAAGGGGGGAAGAAUGUAAUACCCCGUACUUUUAAAAGUACAAAGUAAGAUGCCACGGGGCAUAAGUGCAAGAAUUAAGUCAAGGACAUUGGAAUUAAGUUCGAGAAAUAGAAAAUUAGACCGAAGAGGGUCUACCAAAAUUAUCGUAAAAUAAUAAUUUAAGUAUAAAUUAUUAUUCGAUGAAUUGGAUUUUAGCGGGACUAAAGGAUAAUUAAUACAUUAAAUAAAAUAAAUGGUAAGUCCCGAGUUAAUAAAUUUUACGAUAAAGUUCGUAAAAUAAAUUCAAGGAGCUAAGAUUUAAUUUUAUAGAAAUUGGAUGAAAGCAUUUUAUUAAACGGAAUUUUGAUUAUCGGAAAAAGAAAAAGGACAUAAAUAAAUUAUUUAGACCCGGAUAAAUAAAUAAUGCGAUAGAGUCCGUUAUUUAUCAAUAAAGAAUAAUCGUCAAAGUUCCGUUUAAUUAUGAUAACAUUUUGGAAUAUAAUUGGAAAAAUUAAAAGUUGAGCGUUUAAAUCGAAAGUUAUUAAAAUAAAUUAUCGGAAAAUAUAGUAAUGAGGUAGCGGAAUAAUAUUAUUUAUUUGGAUAUAAAUAAUACGGAAUUUAUCGAGAUCGGACAGUUAAAGGAUUAAUGGAUUAAAUUGGAUGAAAGAAAAGUUGGAAAUUGAAACGAAUGGAGGUGGCAACUUAAAGGACCAAGAGGAGUAUUUUUCCAACCUAUACAUAAGUGUUGCAAAUGAAUUGUUUUUCAUUUUCUACCUCAUUUCCAGCAAGAACUUUGAGAGAAGAAGAGUUCAUCAUCUUCAUUAUUCCAUAAUCUUCUAAACCUCACCAAAGCUUCGUUUCUUAUCCGAUUUACGUGAUUCUUGCGGCAACGGAAAGAGGAAGACGAUAGCUACAAAUCUUGGCCAUCAAUUCAAGAUAACGGUUUGGAGUGGUUUUUGUUGCGUUGGAUUGAGGAAAUAAAUAUCUACCAUCUAAGGGUUGUAAAUCAAGACCCGGCGAGACGAUUACUAACGGGACUCGGAACGUGACGAACGCGAUACCGUUUUACGAAUUCUCGAAGAUUAUGGUUAGCAAGUGUGUUUUGUUUCAGGUGAUAGUAUUUGAAGAGAUGGACUUCCAUUCUUGUUCCGGAAGUCUACAACAUAUAAAGUAUGUAUUGAAGUACGCUUCAAUUCGUAGCGCUGCAGUAGUCAGUAGAUGUCAGUCUAUAUUUGAUUGUUUGUACCGAACGAGAUCCAGCUGUUAACUCUGAUUUUAUAAAAUAUAUAUAUAUAUAUAUAUACGAUUUAUAAAAUUAUGUUUUUACCCGUUUGAUAUUUCACCAAUUGUCUAUGAAUGAAAUUGGUAUGAAAUUGUAUGAUUCGGAACAAGGCAAUGCUGAGUUAUGUUAUCGCAGAGUAAGACCUUAGUUCCAAUCGAUUAUGCAUCGGUUAUGAAAGAACGUUUUCGACGAUUAUGAAAUAUUGUUUUACGAAGUUUUCCCGAAAA